rnacentral:rRNA from 1 species
GAUGAACGCUGGCGGCGUGCCUAAUACAUGCAAGUCGAGCGAACAGACGAGGAGCUUGCUCCUCUGACGUUAGCGGCGGACGGGUGAGUAACACGUGGAUAACCUACCUAUAAGACUGGGAUAACUUCGGGAAACCGGAGCUAAUACCGGAUAAUAUAUUGAACCGCAUGGUUCAAUAGUGAAAGACGGUUUUGCUGUCACUUAUAGAUGGAUCCGCGCCGCAUUAGCUAGUUGGUAAGGUAACGGCUUACCAAGGCAACGAUGCGUAGCCGACCUGAGAGGGUGAUCGGCCACACUGGAACUGAGACACGGUCCAGACUCCUACGGGAGGCAGCAGUAGGGAAUCUUCCGCAAUGGGCGAAAGCUUGACGGAGCAACGCCGCGUGAGUGAUGAAAGUCUUCGGAUCGUAAAACUCUGUUAUUAGGGAAGAACAAAUGUGUAAGUAACUAUGCACGUCUUGACGGUACCUAAUCAGAAAGCCACGGCUAACUACGUG